rnacentral:rRNA from 1 species
UACCUUUCGGUUCGGAAUAACCCGGGGAAACUCGGGCUAAUACCGGAUACGUCCGCAAGGAGAAAGAUUUAUCGCCGAAAGAUCGGCCCGCGUCGGAUUAGCUAGUUGGUGAGGUAACGGCCCACCAAGGCGACGAUCCGUAGCUGGUCUGAGAGGAUGAUCAGCCACACUGGGACUGAGACACGGCCCAGACUCCUACGGGAGGCAGCAGUGGGGAAUAUUGGACAAUGGGCGAAAGCCUGAUCCAGCCAUGCCGCGUGAGUGAAGAAGGCCUUAGGGUUGUAAAGCUCUUUCAGCGGGGAAGAUAAUGACGGUACCCGCAGAAGAAGUCCCGGCUAACUUCGUGCCAGCAGCCGCGGUAAUACGAAGGGGACUAGCGUUGUUCAGAAUUACUGGGCGUAAAGCGCGUGUAGGCGGCUUUUCAAGUCCU